rnacentral:rRNA from 1 species
CCCCUACGGGAGGCAGCAGUGAGGAAUAUUUCACAAUGAGCGAAAGCUUGAUGGAGCAAUGCCGCGUGCAGGAUGAAGGCCCUCGGGUUGUAAACCUCUGUUAGCAGGGAAGAAGAGAGAUUGACGGUACCUGCAGAGAAAGCGCCGGCUAACUACGUGCCAGCAGCCGCGGUAAUGGGG